rnacentral:lncRNA from 13 species
AGCUACUUGAGAGGCUGAAGUGAGAGGAUCAAUUGAACCUGGAACGUCAAGGCUGCAUUAAGCCAUGAUCACACCACUGCACUCCAGCCUGGGCCACAGAGACAUUUGUUUUCCUUGGCCACCAAGAUCCAACCAUGUUCUGAUUGGCAGAAUACUCCACCAUGGAAGGGAGGAGCAGAUGGCUGAACAAGGUAUCUACGUUCCAGAAUAUCUUCUUAACAACCCCUAAACAAGUGAAAGUCUGCUUACUUAUGUAUCAAAAGAUAAGAAAAAAAGAUCACAAUUGUCUGACAGGGAAUAUGGACCUG